rnacentral:rRNA from 1 species
UGGGGAAUUUUGGACAAUGGGGGAAACCCUGAUCCAGCCAUCCCGCGUGUGCGAUGAAGGCCUUCGGGUUGUAAAGCACUUUUGGCAGGAAAGAAACGUCAUGGGUUAAUACCCCGUGAAACUGACGGUACCUGCAGAAUAAGCACCGGCUAACUACGUGCCAGCAGCCGCGGUAAUACGCAGGGUGCAAGCGUUAAUCGGAAUUACUGGGCGUAAAGCGUGCGCAGGCGGUUCGGAAAGAAGGAUGUGAAAUCCCAGAGCUCAACUUUGGAACUGCAUUUUUAACUACCGGGCUAGAGUGUGUCAGAGUGAGGUGGAAUUCCGCGUGUAGCAGUGAAAUGAGUAGAUAUGCGGAGGAACGCCGAUGGCGAUGGCAGCCUCCUGUGAUAACACUGACGCUCAUGCACGAAAGCGUGGGUAGCAAACAGG